AGAAAACAAAAAAGCAAACAAUUAGAGAACAAAACCAUCUGCUCUGCUGCAAUAAAAGGAAAUUCUCAAACAUGUGAAGUUUGCACCGAAUGGAAACUAAAUAUUAAUCUAAAAUGAUUUUUAAUUUUUCAUAAAUCACCACCACCUUCUGCACGUAAGCACUACGCACACACUAAAACAAUCACCAUACUUUUGCACGACUAUAUAAA
rnacentral:misc_RNA from 1 species